ACAAUCACUUUUGAUCAUAGAUUGUAAAUAGUAUUUCAAGAUGUCCUAAGUACAUAUCUUUGUGUAUACAUAAGUGUAUAUAAGACGUAUAACCAGAGACUAUUUGUGGGUUAAAGUAAUUCAUAUUUUCUCUAUCUCAAGAAAUAGAUUACCUGUAUUUUCAUCCUGUUUGUCCUGAAGGUUUUUUUCCUGUGUGUGUGUGUGUGUGUGCGUGCAUGCAUGCGCGCGUGUGUGUGUGUGUGUGUGUGUGUGUGUGUCAGUUACUCGACUUGGUUCAUGACUCUUCUAGCUGUUUCAAAGAAAAGGUGUUUCAGGGACCGGCUUUAAAGAAACCGACACAUUUCACCUCCCAACACUUGCGAGUCUUUUGCUGGGAGACUCUGGUGUUUGGAUCUUAGAUGAAUAUGCAAAAGCCGUUUUUGACUCUGAAGCCCCGUGUUUUUUCGUGCACAAGUGAAUACUUGCUGCCAUGUGCCAAUGUGUACCUUUAGUGUGUUUGUAACUGUGUUGCCUUAGUAUAAAUUUGCCAGUAUUGUCUAGUCCCCCCCCCUCCCCCUCCCCUCAAAGGGGCGGUUGUGCACUUUAGCGUAUACACAUGACCUAAUAACGUCUGAUGUCCGAUCGUUGUUCAUAAGUUGAUGUUUAAAAAAAACAACUAAAAUACUCAAAUGUAACUUGGUCUGAAUGUGACACGAGUCAAGGGUCCUUUUUUUAUUUUACCGUUUUUUGUAGACGUGCCAAAGGUUCUGCAGAAAUCAGCCGUCAUUUUAGAUGAAUUAAUCCCGAUCAGCAGAUAAACGAAUGGGCCUCAACGCGGUGACGCGGGCGACGCCGGCUUCGUCGACGCGGGAGCGUCAGCGCGGCGCCCUACCCCCCCCCCCCGACGUGUUCUUCUCUCGCUGCUGCUGCUAGACUCGCCUCCUCUGCACGUGCAUGCGAUGCCUUGCCUGUCCAGCUUGUUCGAUAUCUCCUAUCUAUUUCUAUACAUGUAAACACAUAUAUAUAUAUAUAUAUACACAGUCUGUGUAGCUCCUGUAAUUAGCUUUAGCGUCCCACGUGUAGCUUUAGCCUGUAGAUUAGUGCGCUGUCGCUAUCGCCUUUACGCGCGAUUCUCUGUUUUCUCGGGCUUCCUGUCAAAGUUUCUCCGUGCCGCAAGCAUGCUGACCUCGCCUAGCAUUGUGACCCUCUCCGCGCUCGAUCUGACUCUCUCUCUCUCUCCUCCGUCUGUAUCCUUCUGCUUGAAGACUGUCGCCGCUCUGAACGUAAAGUAUUAUAUACCCGUGUAUCUAUCUAUCUAUCUAUCUAUGUGUGUGAAGUCCCUCAGCAUGUCUCUCUGAAAGCUCUUCUCUGCGCCUGUAGCACCUUUUUCUCUUUCUCUUCCCGCUUCGCCCUCCUCUAGCAGUGACCUCGUGACCUCUCGCCGUCCCCCCUGACACUCCUCGGGCCGCUGCGCUGUCGCUCUGUUUCUUUUUGGCGUGUCUGAGGCGGCGCGUCGCCGUCCAUGUUUCGUUUUUUCGCCGAGAGGCCCUUGACUCGGGAUCGAUAAGAUGUAGAAUUGAUUGUCCAGAAACGCGUCCAACGCAAGUGUUUUUUAAGCCUCUUAACGGAAAAAUAAUGAAUAUAAACCCUGGUUUCUUGCUUGCGGGAAUAAAUUGUUUGUCGAACAGUUAAAAUCCCCGCCGCAGGUGACGUAUGAUUUGACGUCGUAUGUUGUGCAAACUGCUGCGCUAGCUUCUCUCCAACACUCACCUGUCCUGAACUGUACGUUACUAUUGGGAAAAAAGAAAUAAAUAUUGUCGAAAACAAA
ensembl:lncRNA